AAGGAUGAAGCUAAAUAGCAUUUAACUGUUAAUUAAAGAUAGUAUAUAUUUACAAGUUAUACCUUCCUUG
rnacentral:tRNA from 1 species